AUUGAACGCUGGCGGCAUGCUUUACACAUGCAAGUCGAACGGUAACAGGUUAAGCUGACGAGUGGCGAACGGGUGAGUAAUGCAUCGGAACGUGCCCGAUCGUGGGGGAUAACGCAGCGAAAGCUGCGCUAAUACCGCAUACGAUCUGAGGAUGAAAGCGGGGGACCGUAAGGCCUCGCGCGAUAGGAGCGGCCGAUGUCAGAUUAGGUAGGUGGUGGGGUAAAGGCUCACCAAGCCAACGAUCAGUAGCUGGUCUGAGAGGACGACCAGCCACACUGGGACUGAGACACGGCCCAGACUCCUACGGGAGGCAGCAGUGGGGAAUUUUGGACAAUGGGCGAAAGCCUGAUCCAGCAAUGCCGCGUGCAGGAAGAAGGCCUUCGGGUUGUAAACUGCUUUUGUACGGAGCGAAAAGGUCUCCUCUAAUACAGGGGGCUCAUGACGGCACCGUAAGAAUAAGCACCGGCUAACUACGUGCCAGCCGCCGCAGUAA
rnacentral:rRNA from 1 species